rnacentral:rRNA from 1 species
CACGGGGGGAGCAAGCGUUGUUCGGAAUCACUGGGCGUAAAGGGUGUCUAGGCGGUCAGGUAAGUGAGAUGUGAAAUGCCCCGGCUUACCCGGGGACCUGCAUCUCAUACUGUCUGGCUUGAGUAUGGGAGAGGAUGAGGGAAUUCCUGGUGUAGCGGUGAAAUGCGUAGAUAUCAGGAGGAACACCGGUGGCGAAAGCGCUCUUCUGGCCCAAUACUGACGCUGAAGCACGAAAGCUAGGGGAGCAAACGGG